CUCGGAGCGGGCGGCACCAUGAGCGGCCGGAAGCGCAGCUUCACCUUCGGGGCCUACGGGGGGGUGGACAAGUCCUUCGCCCCUCGCCGGAGUGCAUGGAGGAGUGAUGGGCAGAACCAGCGCUUCCCUCAGGCACUAGACCCGCCAAGAGUGGACUCAGUCCCCUCCCAGACUGCUUCAUUCCACCCAAAGAACACAGAUCUGUUUGAGAUGAUUGAAAAGAUGCAGGGAAGCAGGAUGGAUGAACAGCGAUGCUCCUUCCCACCACCCCUCAAAACGGAGGAGGACUACAUUCCAUACCCGAGCGUCCACGAGGUCCUGGGCCGAGAAGGGCCCUUCCCCCUGAUCCUGCUGCCCCAGUUCGGGGGCUACUGGAUUGAAGGCACCAAUCACGAAGUCACCAGCGUCCCAGAGACGGAGCCGCUGCAGUCGCCCACGACCAGGGUGAAGCUGGAGUGCAACCACACCGCCCGCCUCUACCGGAAGCACUUUCUCGGCAAGGAGCACUUUAACUACUACUCGCUGGACACCGCCCUGGGCCACCUUGUCUUCUCACUCAAGUACGACGUCAUCGGGGACCAGGAACAUCUGCGGCUGCUGCUCAGGACCAAGUGCCGGACAUACCAUGACGUCAUCCCCAUCUCCUGUCUCACUGAGUUCCCCAACGUGGUCCAGAUGGCAAAGUUGGUGUGUGAAGACGUGAAUGUGGAUCGAUUCUACCCUGUGCUCUACCCCAAGGCCUCCCGCCUCAUCGUCACCUUCGAUGAGCAUGUCAUCAGCAAUAACUUCAAGUUCGGAGUCAUUUACCAGAAGCUCGGGCAGACCUCCGAGGAAGAGCUCUUCAGCACCAAUGAGGAGAGCCCCGCCUUCGUGGAGUUCCUCGAGUUUCUGGGCCAGAAGGUCAAACUGCAGGACUUCAAGGGGUUCCGAGGAGGCCUGGACGUGACCCACGGGCAGACGGGGACCGAGUCUGUGUACUGCAACUUCCGCAACAAGGAGAUCAUGUUUCACGUGUCCACCAAGCUGCCCUACACAGAAGGGGACGCCCAGCAGUUGCAGCGGAAGCGACACAUUGGCAACGACAUUGUGGCUGUGGUCUUCCAAGAUGAGAACACGCCUUUUGUGCCGGACAUGAUUGCGUCCAACUUCCUGCACGCCUACGUGGUGGUGCAGGCCGAGGGCGCGGGCCCUGACGGGCCCCUCUACAAGGUGUCCGUCACGGCGAGAGAUGACGUCCCCUUCUUUGGACCACCCCUCCCGGACCCCGCUGUGUUUCGGAAGGGGCCUGAGUUCCAGGAAUUUCUGCUGACAAAGCUGAUCAAUGCCGAAUAUGCUUGCUACAAGGCCGAGAAGUUUGCCAAACUGGAGGAGCGGACACGGGCCGCCCUCCUGGAGACGCUCUAUGAGGAGCUUCACAUCCAUAGCCAGUCCAUGAUGGGCCUAGGGGGCGAUGAGGACAAGAUGGAGAACGGCGGCGGGGGCGGCGGCUUCUUCGAGUCCUUCAAGCGGGUCAUCCGGAGCCGCAGCCAGUCCAUGGACGCCAUGGGCCUGAGCAACAAGAAGCCCCACACCGUGUCCACGAGCCACAGCGGGAGUUUCACGCCCAGCAACCCCGACCUAGCCAAGGCGGCUGGAAUAUCAUUGCUUAUUCCCGGGAAAAGUGGCGGUAGAUUCGGACGCCGAGGCAGUGCCAUAGGCAUAGGAACCGUGGAAGAGUCGCUGAUCGUCCCCGGCAAGAGCCCCACGAGGAAGAAGUCGGGUCCGUUCGGCUCGCGACGGAGCAGCGCCAUCGGCAUCGAGAAUAUCCAGGAGGUGCAGGAGAAGAGGGAGAGCCCCCCGGCCGGCCAGAAGACCCCAGACAGCGGGCACGUCUCCCAGGAGCCCAAGUCGGAGAACUCAUCCACUCAGAGCUCCCCAGAGAUGCCCACGACCAAAAACAGAGCGGAGACAGCGGCCCAGAGAGCAGAAGUGCUAAAGGGCUUCUCCCGCUCCUCGUCCAGUGCCAGCAGCUUCGCCAGCGUCGUGGAGGAGGCAGAAGGCCUGGACGCGGACGACACGGGCCUGGAGAGCGUUUCCUCCUCCGGGACGCCCCACAAGCGGGACUCCUUCAUCUACAGCACGUGGCUGGAGGACAGCAUCAGUACCACGAGCGGAGGCAGCUCCCCAGUGAGGUGGCUCCCUCCUGCCUCCCUCCCCAGGCCCCUCUCGGUCACCCCACCCCGACGCCGGCAAGUUGGGGGACCCUGCGUGUCCCGAGAUCAAGAUCCAGCUGGAAGCAUCUGAACAGCACACGCCCCAGCUGGGCUGUUAGCCACUCUGCCGCUCUGAAGGUGGCCCCGAGCAGAUGAGGCCGCAGAGGCACAAGGCAGAUGCUCUGGCAGAUCCAGGUGGACGGGACCUCCACCCCUGAGGCCAGCACCAGCCUGGGGCCCACCCCUCGCCUCCCCAGCCCUCCUCCUGGCCCAUGUCCGGGCUGUCUCUGCAGAGUGGAGCCGUCCAGCCCUGGGAGCGGGGAAGCUGCUGGCACCGUCCCCACCCCCUGGGCUGGGAGGCUGGCUGGGGCGGGGAGAGGUCAGCUGGAACGGGACUCCAGGCCUGGCUCAUCCAUCACCCUUGGGUGCCGCUCUGGAUUCGAGGGAGUGAGCUGGAAAGGAGAACUAGACAUCUCGGUGCACGCAGAGCCUGCCAUGGAGGCGGUGGGGAGGAGGAGCACUGGGCUGGGAGUCCUGAGUCCUAGCCUGUGAUUUGGGAUCCGCUGUGCAGCUCUAGGCCCAUCACACUCCCUCUCUGGGUGCCUCGGCUCUAAAUGGACGAGAUCAUUUCAGAGGUCACUGAAGACUCCGCGCAGCUGCCCCCGAAUGGAGGAUUGCCCUCCCGGGGGCCUCCCGUCACCCUCUCCUGCUUCUUGGGGUUCCUGGGGCCCCAGGUCGGCUGAGGGGCAGGGGGCUGGCUGUGCCCAUGGCACCUCCUAGACCCUCAGGCCGUGUGCCGCAGACCUGCGGAGGCCCUGCCCACCGCCUCUACGUGACAGACAGUGACCCCAUUGCGGGCGUGGGGGGCCCGCGUGGCUCUUCCGCCAGCCCCCGGCUCGGCCCCCUGGCACCUCCUGCUCCUGGCACUCCAGGCCGAGGGGUCUCAGCUGGCUCACCUUUGCACCACCCCCACCCCGCACAGAGCGGGCAGUCAGGCACAGCUGCUGUGAGUCCACAUCCUUGUGUGUGUCCACACUUUUUAGGCACCACGCCAAAGGGCAGCCUUCCGGCCCCAACACCCGUUUCGGAAGCCCCUGUGGCCAUGUGUGUGUGUCGGUGACAGUUGUACAAAAUAAAUUCUAUUUAUCGCUAUUGUACCCCGA